GAUGAAGAACGUAGUGAAAUGCGAUAAGUAAUGUGAAUUGCAGAAUUCAGUGAAUCAUCGAAUCUUUGAACGCACAUUGCGCCCGCCAGUAUUCUGGUGGGCAUGCCUGUCUGAGCGUCAUUUCAACCCUCAUGCCCCUAGGGCGUGGUGUUGGGGAUCGGCCAAAGCCCGCGAGGGACGGCCGGCCCCUAAAUCUAGUGGCGGACCCGUCGUGGCCUCCUCUGCGAAGUAGUGAUAUUCCGCAUCGGAGAGCGAUGAGCCCCUGCCGUUAAACCCCCAACUUUCCAAGGUUGACCUCAGAUCAGGUAGGAAUACCCGCUGAACUUAAGCAUAUCAAUAAGCGGAGGA
rnacentral:misc_RNA from 1 species